GCUUUGUUCUGCAGGUAGGGCUGGGCUUUUCAUUGACCAUGGGUUGGAAUAGUUCUGUGGGCAUAGUGUGUCUUCGAAGCCACUAUGUUUUCUGCACUUGUGACUACAGAGCACCUUGAUAGCUCAGUUGGUAGAGCGGUGGACUGUAAGAUGCUCCUUGUGUGAAACGCUGUGAUCCUAAGGUCGCUGGUUCAACUCCAGCUCCAAGCGCCUCCUUGUCAUUGGAAAUACCCCCAAGCCUUGUCUUUAUCUGUCAACUCCUCCAAAAUGUCAAAACACAAACAAGUUAACUCUUUCGUAAAUUUUCAACCAUCAAUUUUUUAUUCACCCAGCCUUAAAGUCCUGAUUAUCAGUUCUGGGUCCCUGGCAAUGACUGUUGGGUACAAACUGCAAAGCUUUGUUCUGCAGGUAGGGCUGGGCUUUUCAUUGACCAUGGGUUGGAAUAGUUCUGUGGGCAUAGUGUGUCUUUGAAGCCACUAUGUUUUCUGCACUUGUGACUAGAGAGCACCUUGAUAGCUCAGUUGGUAGAGCGGUGGACUGUAAGAUGCUGCUUGUUUGAAACGCUGUGAUCCUAAGGUCGCUGGUUCAACUCCAGCUCCAAGCACAUCAGUGGAAAUACCCCCAAGCCUUGUCUUUAUCUGUCAACUCCUCCAAAAUGUCAAAACACAAACAAGAUAACUUUUUUUAAAAUUUUCAACCAUCAAUUUUUUAUUCACCCAGCCUAAAAGUCCUGAUUAUCAGUUCUGGGUCCCUGGCAAUGACUGUUGGGUACAAACUGCAAAGCUUUGUUCUGCAGGUAGGGCUGGGCUUUUCAUUGACCAUGGGUUGGAAUAGUUCUGUGGGCAUAGUGUGUCUUCGAAGCCACUAUGUUUUCUGCACUUGUGACUAGAGAGCACCUUGAUAGCUCAGUUGGUAGAGCGGUGGACUGUAAGAUGCUCCUUGUGUGAAACGCUGUGAUCCUAAGGCCGCUGGUUUAACUCCAGCUCCAAGCACCUCCUUGUCAUUGGAAAUACCCCCAAGCCUUGUCUUUAUCUGUCAACUCCUCCAAAAUGUCAAAACACAAACAAGUUAACUCUUUCGUAAAUUUUCAACCAUCAAUUUUUUAUUCACCCAGCCUAAAAGUCCUGAUUAUCAGUUCUGGGUCCCUGGCAAUGACUGUUGGGUACAAACUGCAAAGCUUUGUUCUGCAGGUAGGGCUGGGCUUUUCAUUGACCAUGGGUUGGAAUAGUUCUGUGGGCAUAGUGUGUCUUCGAAGCCACUAUGUUUUCUGCACUUGUGACUAGAGAGCACCUUGAUAGCUCAGUUGGUAGAGCGGUGGACUGUAAGAUGCUCCUUGUGUGAAACGCUGUCAUCCUAAGGUCGCUUGUUCAACUCCAGCUCCAAGCACCUCCUUGUCAUUGGAAAUACCCCCAAGCCUUGUCUUUAUCUGUCAACUCCUCCAAAAUGUCAAAACACAAACAAGAUAACUCUUUCUUAAAUUUUCAACCAUCAAUUUUUUAUUCACCCAGCCUAAAAGUCCUGAUUAUCAGUUCUGGGUCCCUGGCAAUGACUGUUGGGUACAAACUGCAAAGCUUUGUUCUGCAGGUAGGGCUGGGCUUUUCAUUGACCAUGGGUUGGAAUAGUUCUGUGGGCAUAGUGUGUCUUCGAAGCCACUAUGUUUUCUGCACUUGUGACUAGAGAGCACCUUGAUAGCUCAGUCGGUAGAGCGGUGGACUGUAAGAUGCUCCUUGUGUGAAACCCUGUGAUCCUAAGGUCGCUGGUUCAACUCCAUCUCCAAGCACGUCAUUGGAAAUACCCCCAAGCCUUGUCUUCAUCUGUCAACUCCUCCAAAAUGUCAAAACACAAACAAGAUAACUCUUUCUUAAAUUUUCAACCAUCAAUUUUUUAUUCACCCAGCCUAAAAGUCCUGAUUAUCAGUUCUGGGUCCCUGGCAAUGACUGUUGGGUACAAACUGCAAAGCUUUGUUCUGCAGGUAGGGCUGGGCUUUUCAUUGACCAUGGGUUGGAAUAGUUCUGUGGGCAUAGUGUGUCUUCGAAGCCACUAUGUUUUCUGCACUUGUGACUACAGAGCACCUUGAUAGCUCAGUUGGUAGAGCGGUGGACUGUAAGAUGCUCCUUGUGUGAAACGCUGUGAUCCUAAGGUCGCUGGUUCAACUCCAGCUCCAAGCGCCUCCUUGUCAUUGGAAAUACCCCCAAGCCUUGUCUUUAUCUGUCAACUCCUCCAAAAUGUCAAAACACAAACAAGUUAACUCUUUCGUAAAUUUUCAACCAUCAAUUUUUUAUUCACCCAGCCUUAAAGUCCUGAUAAACACAAACAAGAUAACUCUUUCUUAAAUUUUCAACCAUCAAUUUUUUAUUCACCCAGCAUUAAAGUCCUGAUUAUCAGUUCUGGGUCCCUGGCAAUGACUGUUGGGUACAAACUGCAAAGCUUUGUUCUGCAGGUAGGGCUGGGCUUUUCAUUGACCAUGGGUUGGAAUAGUUCUGUGGGCAUAGUGUGUCUUCGAAGCCACUAUGUUUUCUGCACUUGUGACUAGAGAGCACCUUGAUAGCUCAGUCGGUAGAGCGGUGGACUGUAAGAUGCUCCUUGUGUGAAACCCUGUGAUCCUAAGGUCGCUGGUUCAACUCCAUCUCCAAGCACGUCAUUGGAAAUACCCCCAAGCCUUGUCUUUAUCUGUCAACUCCUCCAAAAUGUCAAAACACAAACAAGAUAACUCUUUCUUAAAUUUUCAACCAUCAAUUUUUUAUUCACCCAGCCUAAAAGUCCUGAUUAUCAGUUCUGGGUCCCUGGCAAUGACUGUUGGGUACAAACUGCAAAGCUUUGUUCUGCAGGUAGGGCUGGGCUUUUCAUUGACCAUGGGUUGGAAUAGUUCUGUGGGCAUAGUGUGUCUUCGAAGCCACUAUGUUUUCUGCACUUGUGACUACAGAGCACCUUGAUAGCUCAGUUGGUAGAGCGGUGGACUGUAAGAUGCUCCUUGUGUGAAACGCUGUGAUCCUAAGGUCGCUGGUUCAACUCCAUCUCCAAGCACGUCAUUGGAAAUACCCCCAAGCCUUGUCUUUAUCCGUCAAAACACAAACAAGAUAACUCUUUCUUAAAUUUUCAACCAUCAAUUUUUUAUUCACCCAGCCUAAAAGUCCUGAUUAUCAGUUCUGGGUCCCUGGCAAUGACUGUUGGGUACAAACUGCAAAGCUUUGUUCUGCAGGUAGGGCUGGGCUUUUCAUUGACCAUGGGUUGGAAUAGUUCUGUGGGCAUAGUGUGUCUUCGAAGCCACUAUGUUUUCUGCAUUUGUGACUAGAGACCACCUUGAUAGCUCAGUUGGUAGAGCUGUGGACUGUAAGAUGCUCCUUGUGUGAAACGCUGUGAUCCUAAGGCCGCUGGUUCAACUCCAGCUCCAAGCACGUCAUUUGAAAUACCCCCAAGCCUUGUCUUUAUCUGUCAACUCCUCCAAAAUGUCAAAACACAAACAAGAUAACUCUUUCUUAAAUUUUCAACCAUCAAUUUUUUAUUCACCCAGCCUAAAAGUCCUGAUUAUCAGUUCUGGGUCCCUGGCAAUGACUGUUGGGUACAAACUGCAAAGCUUUGUUCUGCAGGUAGGGCUGGGCUUUUCAUUGACCAUGGGUUGGAAUAGUUCUGUGGGCAUAGUGUGUCUUCGAAGCCACUAUGUUUUCUGCAUUUGUGACUAGAGACCACCUUGAUAGCUCAGUUGGUAGAGCUGUGGACUGUAAGAUGCUCCUUGUGUGAAACGCUGUGAUCCUAAGGCCGCUGGUUCAACUCCAGCUCCAAGCACGUCAUUGGAAAUACCCCCAAGCCUUGUCUUUAUCUGUCAACUCCUCCAAAAUGUCAAAACACAAACAAGAUAACUCUUUCUUAAAUUUUCAACCAUCAAUUUUUUAUUCACCCAGCCUAAAAGUCCUGAUUAUCAGUUCUGGGUCCCUGGCAAUGACUGUUGGGUACAAACUGCAAAGCUUUGUUCUGCAGGUAGGGCUGGGCUUUUCAUUGACCAUGGGUUGGAAUAGUUCUGUGGGCAUAGUGUGUCUUCGAAGCCACUAUGUUUUCUGCACUUGAGACUAGAGACCACCUUGAUAGCUCAGUUGGUAGAGCGGUGGACUGUAAGAUGCUCCUUGUGUGAAACGCUGUGAUCCUAAGGUCGCUGGUUCAACUCCAGCUCCAAGCACGUCAUUGGAAAUACCCCCAAGCCUUGUCUUUAUCUGUCAACUCCUCCAAAAUGUCAAAACACAAACAAGAUAACUCUUUCUUAAAUUUUCAACCAUCAAUUUUUUAUUCACCCAGCCUAAAAGUCCUGAUUAUCAGUUCUGGGUCCCUGGCAAUGACUGUUGGGUACAAACUGCAAAGCUUUGUUCUGCAGGUAGGGCUGGGCUUUUCAUUGACCAUGGGUUGGAAUAGUUCUGUGGGCAUAGUGUGUCUUCGAAGCCACUAUGUUUUCUGCACUUGUGACUAGAGAGCACCUUGAUAGCUCAUUUGGUAGAGCGUUGGACUGUAAGAUGCUCCUUGUGUGAAACGCUGUGAUCCUAAGGUCGCUGGUUCAACUCCAGCUCCAAGCACCUCCUUGUCAUUAGAAAUACCCUCAAGCCUUGUCUUUAUCUGUCAACUCCUCCAAAAUGUCAAAACACAAACAAGAUAACUCUUUCUUAAAUUUUCAACCAUCAAUUUUUUAUUCACCCAGCCUAAAAGUCCUGAUUAUCAGUUCUGGGUCCCUGGCAAUGACUGUUGGGUACAAACUGCAAAGCUUUGUUCUGCAGGUAGGGCUGGGCUUUUCAUUGACCAUGGGUUGGAAUAGUUCUGUGGGCAUAGUGUGUCUUCGAAGCCACUAUGUUUUCUGCACUUGUGACUAGAGAGCACCUUGAUAGCUCAGUUGGUAGAGCGGUGGACUGUAAGAUGCUCCUUGUGUGAAACGCUGUGAUCCUAAGGUCGCUGGUUCAACUCCAGCUCCAAGCACCUCCUUUUCAUUGGAAAUACCCCCAAGCCUUGUCUUUAUCUGUCAACUCCUCCAAAAUGUCAAAACACAAACAAGAUAACUCUUUCUUAAAUUUUCAACCAUCAAUUUUUUAUUCACCCAGCCUAAAAGUCCUGAUUAUCAGUUCUGGGUCCCUGGCAAUGACUGUUGGGUACAAACUGCAAAGCUUUGUUCUUCAGGUAGGGCUGGGCUUUUCAUUGACCAUGGGUUGGAAUAGUUCUGUGGGCAUAGUGUGUCUUCGAAGCCACUAUGUUUUCUGCACUUGUGACUAUACAGCACCUUGAUAGCUCAGUUGGUAGAGCGGUGGACUGUAAGAUGCUCCUUGUGUUAAACGCUGUGAUCCUAAGGUCGCUAGUUCAACUCCAGCUCCAAUCACGUCAUUGGAAAUACCCCCAAGCCUUGUCUUUAUCUGUCAACUCCUCCAAAAUGUCAAAACACAAACAAGAUAACUCUUUCUUAAAUUUUCAACCAUCAAUUUUUUAUUCACCCAGCCUAAAAGUCCUGAUUAUCAGUUCUGGGUCCCUGGCAAUGACUGUUGGGUACAAACUGCAAAGCUUUGUUCUGCAGGUAGGGCUGGGCUUUUCAUUGACCAUGGGUUGGAAUAGUUCUGUGGGCAUAGUGUGUCUUCGAAGCCACUAUGUUGUCUGCACUUGUGACUAUAGAGCACCUUGAUAGCUCAGUUGGUAGAGCGGUGGACUGUAAGAUGUUCCUUGUGUGUAACGCUCUGAUCCUAAGGUCGCUGGUUGAACUCCAGCUCCAAGCACCUCCUUGUCAUUGGAAAUACCCCCAAGCCUUGUCUUUAUCUGUCAACUCCUCCAAAAUGUCAAAACACAAACAAGAUAACUCUUUCUUAAAUUUUCAACCAUCAAUUUUUUAUUCACCCAGCCUAAAAGUCCUGAUUAUCAGUUCUGGGUCCCUGGCAAUGACUGUUGGGUACAAACUGCAAAGCUUUGUUCUGCAGGUAGGGCUGGGCUUUUCAUUGACCAUGGGUUGGAAUAGUUCUGUGGGCAUAGUGUGUCUUCGAAGCCACUAUGUUUUCUGCACUUGUGACUAGAGAGCACCUUGAUAGCUCAGUUGGUAGAGCGUUGGACUGUAAGAUGCUCCUUGUGUGAAACGCUGUGAUCCUAAGGUCGCUGGUUCAACUCCAGCUCCGAGCACCUCCUUUUCAUUGGAAAUACCCCCAAGCCUUGUCUUUAUCUGUCAACUCCUCCAAAAUGUCAAAACACAAACAAGAUAACUCUUUCUUAAAUUUUCAACCAUCAAUUUUUUAUUCACCCAGCCUAAAAGUCCUGAUUAUCAGUUCUGGGUCCCUGGCAAUGACUGUUGGGUACAAACUGCAAAGCUUUGUUCUGCAGGUAGGGCUGGGCUUUUCAUUGACCAUGGGUUGGAAUAGUUCUGUGGGCAUAGUGUGUCUUCGAAGCCACUAUGUUUUCUGCACUUGUGACUAUACAGCACCUUGAUAGCUCAGUUGGUAGAGCGGUGGACUGUAAGAUGCUCCUUGUGUUAAACGCUGUGAUCCUAAGGUCGCUAGUUCAACUCCAGCUCCAAUCACGUCAUUGGAAAUACCCCCAAGCCUUGUCUUUAUCUGUCAACUCCUCCAAAAUGUCAAAACACAAACAAGAUAACUCUUUCUUAAAUUUUCAACCAUCAAUUUUUUAUUCACCCAGCCUAAAAGUCCUGAUUAUCAGUUCUGGGUCCCUGGCAAUGACUGUUGGGUACAAACUGCAAAGCUUUGUUCUGCAGGUAGGGCUGGGCUUUUCAUUGACCAUGGGUUGGAAUAGUUCUGUGGGCAUAGUGUGUCUUCGAAGCCACUAUGUUUUCUGCACUUGUGACUAGAGAGCACCUUGAUAGCUCAGUUGGUAGAGCGGUGGACUGUAAGAUGCUCCUUGUGUGAAACGCUGUGAUCCUAAGGUCGCUGGUUCAACUCCAGCUCCAAGCACCUCCUUGUCAUUGGAAAUACCCCCAAGCCUUGUCUUUAUCUGUCAACUCCUCCAAAAUGUCAAAACACAAACAAGAUAACUCUUUCUUAAAUUUUCAACCAUCAAUUUUUUAUUCACCCAGCCUAAAAGUCCUGAUUAUCAGUUCUGGGUCCCUGGCAAUGACUGUUGGGUACAAACUGCAAAGCUUUGUUCUGCAGGUAGGGCUGGGCUUUUCAUUGACCAUGGGUUGGAAUAGUUCUGUGGGCAUAGUGUGUCUUCGAAGCCACUAUGUUUUCUGCACUUGUGACUAGAGAGCACCUUGAUAGCUCAGUUGGUAGAGCGGUGGACUGUAAGAUGCUCCUUGUGUGAAACGCUGUGAUCCUAAGGUCGCUGGUUCAACUCCAGCUCCAAGCACCUCCUUGUCAUUGGAAAUACCCCCAAGCCUUGUCUUUAUCUGUCAACUCCUCCAAAAUGUCAAAACACAAACAAGAUAACUCUUUCUUAAAUUUUCAACCAUCAAUUUUUUAUUCACCCAGCCUAAAAGUCCUGAUUAUCAGUUCUGGGUCCCUGGCAAUGACUGUUGGGUACAAACUGCAAAGCUUUGUUCUGCAGGUAGGGCUGGGCUUUUCAUUGACCAUGGGUUGGAAUAGUUCUGUGGGCAUAGUGUGUCUUCGAAGCCACUAUGUUUUCUGCACUUGUGACUAAGAGCACCUUGAUAGCUCAGUUGGUAGAGCGGUGGACUGUAAGAUGCUCCUUGUGUGAAACACUGUGAUCCUAAGGCCGCUGGUUCAACUCCAGCUCCAAGCACGUCAUUGGAAAUACCCCCAAGCCUUGUCUUUAUCUGUCAACUCCUCCAAAAUGUCAAAACACAAAAAAGAUAACUCUUUCUUAAAUUUUCAACCAUCAAUUUUUUAUUCACCCAGCCUAAAAGUCCUGAUUAUCAGUUCUGGGUCCCUGGCAAUGACUGUUGGGUACAAACUGCAAAGCUUUGUUCUGCAGGUAGGGCUGGGCUUUUCAUUGACCAUGGGUUGGAAUAGUUCUGUGGGCAUAGUGUGUCUUCGAAGCCACUAUGUUUUCUGCACUUGUGAAUAGAGAGCACCUUGAUAGCUCAGUUGGUAGAGCGGUGGACUGUAAGAUGCUCCUUGUGUGAAAGGCUGUGAUCCUAAGGUCGCUGGUUCAACUCCAGCUCCAAGCACCUCCUUGUCAUUGGAAAUACCCCCAAGCCUUGUCUUUAUCUGUCAACUCCUCCAAAAUGUCAAAACACAAACAAGAUAACUCUUUCUUAAAUUUUCAACCAUCAAUUUUUUAUUCACCCAGCCUAAAAGUCCUGAUUAUCAGUUCUGGGUCCCUGGCAAUGACUGUUGGGUACAAACUGCAAAGCUUUGUUCUGCAGGUAGGGCUGGGCUUUUCAUUGACCAUGGGUUGGAAUAGUUCUGUGGGCAUAGUGUGUCUUCGAAGCCACUAUGUUUUCUGCACUUGUGAAUAGAGAGCACCGUGAUAGCUCAGUUGGUAGAUCGGUGGACUGUAAGAUGUUCCUUGUGUGAAACGCUGUGAUCCUAAGGUCGCUGGUUCAACUCCAGCUCCAAGCACCUCCUUGUCAUUGGAAAUACCCCCAAGCCUUGUCUUUAUCUGUCAACUCCUCCAAAAUGUCAAAACACAAACAAGAUAACUCUUUCUUAAAUUUUCAACCAUCAAUUUUUUAUUCACCCAGCCUAAAAGUCCUGAUUAUCAGUUCUGGGUCCCUGGCAAUGACUGUUGGGUACAAACUGCAAAGCUUUGUUCUGCAGGUAGGGCUGGGCUUUUCAUUGACCAUGGGUUGGAAUAGUUCUGUGGGCAUAGUGUGUCUUCGAAGCCACUAUGUUUUCUGCACUUGUGACUAGAGAGCACCUUGAUAGCUCAGUUGGUAGAGCGGUGGACUGUAAGAUGCUCCUUGUGUGAAACGCUGUGAUCCAAAGGUCGUUGGUUCAACUCCAUCUCCAAGCAAGUCAUUGGAAAUACCACCAAGCCUUGUCUUUAUCUGUCAACUCCUCCAAAAUGUCAAAACACAAACAAGAUAACUCUUUCUUAAAUUUUCAACCAUCAAUUUUUUAUUCACCCAGCCUAAAAGUCCUGAUUAUCAGUUCUGGGUCCCUGGCAAUGACUGUUGGGUACAAACUGCAAAGCUUUGUUCUUCAGGUAGGGCUGGGCUUUUCAUUGACCAUGGGUUGGAAUAGUUCUGUGGGCAUAGUGUGUCUUCGAAGCCACUAUGUUUUCUGCACUUUUGACUAGAGAGCACCGUGAUAGCUCAGUUGGUAGAGCGGUGGACUGUAAGAUUCUCCUUGUGUGAAACACUGUGAUCCUAAGGCCGCUUGUUCAACUCCAGCUCCAAGCUUGUCAUUGGAAAUACCCCCAAGCCUUGUCUUUAUCUGUCAACUCCUCCAAAAUGUCAAAACACAAACAAGAUAACUCUUUCUUAAAUUUUCAACCAUCAAUUUUUUAUUCACCCAGCCUAAAAGUCCUGAUUAUCAGUUCUGGGUCCCUGGCAAUGACUGUUGGGUACAAACUGCAAAGCUUUGUUCUGCAGGUAGGGCUGGGCUUUUCAUUGACCAUGGGUUGGAAUAGUUCUGUGGGCAUAGUGUGUCUUCGAAGCCACUAUGUUUUCUGCACUUGUGAAUAGAGAGCACCGUGAUAGCUCAGUUGGUAGAGCGGUGGACUGUAAGAUGUUCCUUGUGUGAAACGCUGUGAUCCUAAGGUCGCUGGUUCAACUCCAGCUCCAAACACCUCCUUGUCAUUGGAAAUACCCCCAAGCCUUGUCUUUAUCUGUCAACUCCUCCAAAAUGUGAAAACACAAACAAGAUAACUCUUUCUUAAAUUUUCAACCAUCAAUUUUUUAUUCACCCAGCCUAAAAGUCCUGAUUAUCAGUUCUGGGUCCCUGGCAAUGACUGUUGGGUACAAACUGCAAAGCUUUGUUCUGCAGGUAGGGCUGGGCUUUUCAUUGACCAUGGGUUGGAAUAGUUCUGUGGGCAUAGUGUGUCUUCGAAGCCACUAUGUUUUCUGCACUUGUGACUAGGGAGCACCUUGAUAGCUCAGUUGGUACAGCGGUGAACUGUAAGAUGCUCCUUGUGUGAAACGCUGUGAUCCUAAGGUCGCUGGUUCAACUCCAGCUCCAAGCACCUCCUUGUCAUUGGAAAUACCCCCAAGCCUUGUCUUUAUCUGUCAACUCCUCCAAAAUGUCAAACACAAACAAGUUAACUCUUUCUUAAAUUUUCAACCAUCAAUUUUUUAUUCACCCAGCCUAAAAGUCCUGAUUAUCAGUUCUGGGUCCCUGGCAAUGACUGUUGGGUACAAACUGCAAAGCUUUGUUCUGCAGGUAGGGCUGGGCUUUUCAUUGACCAUGGGUUGGAAUAGUUCUGUGGGCAUAGUGUGUCUUCGAAGCCACUAUGUUUUCUGCACUUGUGACUAGAGAGCACCUUGAUAGCUCAGUUGGUAGAGCGGUGGACUGUAAGAUGCUCCUUGUGUGAAACGCUGUGAUCCUAAGGUCGCUGGUUCAACUCCAGCUCCAAGCACGUCAUUGGAAAUACCCCCAAGCCUUGUCUUUAUCUGUCAACUCCUCCAAAAUGUCAAAACACAAACAAGAUAACUCUUUCUUAAAUUUUCAACCAUCAAUUUUUUAUUCACCCAGCCUAAAAGUCCUGAUUAUCAGUUCUGGGUCCCUGGCAAUGACUGUUGGGUACAAACUGCAAAGCUUUGUUCUGCAGGUAGGGCUGGGCUUUUCAUUGACCAUGGGUUGGAAUAGUUCUGUGGGCAUAGUGUGUCUUCAAAGCCACUAUGUUUUCUGCACUUGUGACUAGAGAGCACCUUGAUAGCUCAUUUUGUAGAGCUUUGGACUGUAAGAUGCUCCUUGUGUGAAACGCUGUGAUCCUAAGGUCGCUGGUUCAACUCCAGCUCCAAGCACCUCCUUGUCAUUGGAAAUACCCCCAAGCCUUGUCUUUAUCUGUCAACUCCUCCAAAAUGUCAAAACACAAACAAGAUAACUCUUUCUUAAAUUUUCAACCAUCAAUUUUUUAUUCACCCAGCCUAAAAGUCCUGAUUAUCAGUUCUGGGUCCCUGGCAAUGACUGUUGGGUACAAACUGCAAAGCUUUGUUCUGCAGGUAGGGCUGGGCUUUUCAUUGACCAUGGGUUGGAAUAGUUCUGUGGGCAUAGUGUGUCUUCGAAGCCACUAUGUUUUCUGCACUUGUGAAUAGAGAGCACCGUGAUAGCUCAGUUGGUAGAGCGGUGGACUGUAAGAUGUUCCUUGUGUGAAACGCUGUGAUCCUAAGGUCGCUGGUUCAACUCCAGCUCCAAGCACCUCCUUGUCAUUGGAAAUACCACCAAGCCUUGUCUUUAUCUGUCAACUCCUCCAAAAUGUCAAAACACAAACAAGAUAACUCUUUCUUAAAUUUUCAACCAUCAAUUUUUUAUUCACCCAGCCUAAAAGUCCUGAUUAUCAGUUCUGGGUCCCUGGCAAUGACUGUUGGGUACAAACUGCAAAGCUUUGUUCUGCAGGUAGGGCUGGGCUUUUCAUUGACCAUGGGUUGGAAUUAGUUCUGUGGGCAUAGUGUGUCUUCGAAGCCACUAUGUUUUCUGCACUUGUGACUAGAGAGCACCUUGAUAGCUCAGUUUGUAGAGCUUUGGACUGUAAGAUGCUC